AUACUCAAGCAGGUGACUACCUAGAAGGGGAUAAGAAUUAGCCUGACCGGCAGAGAUACGUUUUUGAUUAAAGUGCUUACAGAAGCUCAGUGCACGGGCUUUGUGUUUUGCAAGAGCCAAUAUGAUCUUCUGGGAGAUCUCUUUUACGGGAUGCUCAGCUAGUGUGAUGGAGUAAAUUAGCAAGAUUGCAGGAGAUCGGCCUAUCUAUUCUCUAUUCAUGUCCAAAACCCAAGGCUUGGUAAGCCUCAUACCGUGGAGCAUUGCCUGGGUGACCUGCGAGGUGAAUGGGAAUGUCUGCUGUGGAGCCUUUGGCAUGUUCCGCGUGCAAUCGUCUGUCCAGGCAGACACUCGUUUUGGCAGCCGCCGCGGGAUAGACAUCCACACUGACACCACACAACAAUAGGAUUAGGAAUUAAACUU